rnacentral:rRNA from 1 species
UACGUAGGGGACCGAGCGUUGUCCGGAAUCAUUGGGCGUAAAGAGCGUGUAGGCGGCCACUUAAGUCCUGCGUGGAAAUCUUGCGGCUCAACCGCAAGCGGUCGUGGGAAACUGGGUGGCUAGAGUGCGGGGAGAGGGAAGCGGAAUUCCGGGUGUAGCGGUGAAAUGCGUAGAUAUCCGGAGGAACACCGGUGGCGAAGGCGGCUUGCCUGGACCGACACUGACGCUGAGGCGCGAAAGCCAGGGGAGCGAAACGGGAUU